AACGAACGCUGGCGGCAUGCCUAACACAUGCAAGUCGAACGAGACCUUCGGGUCUAGUGGCGCACGGGUGCGUAACGCGUGGGAACCUGCCCUUAGGUUCGGAAUAACUCCCCGAAAGGGGUGCUAAUACCGGAUAAUGUCUUCGGACCAAAGAUUUAUCGCCUUUGGAUGGGCCCGCGUUGGAUUAGCUAGUUGGUAGGGUAAAAGCCUACCAAGGCGACGAUCCAUAGCUGGUCUGAGAGGAUGAGCAGCCACACUGGGACUGAGACACGGCCCAGACUCCUACGGGAGGCAGCAGUGGGGAAUAUUGGCCAAUGGGCGAAAGCCUGAUCCAGCAAUGCCGCGUGAGUGAUGAAGGCCUUAGGGUUGUAAAGCUCUUUUACCCGGGAUGAUAAUGACAGUACCGGGAGAAUAAGCCCCGGCUAACUCCGUG
rnacentral:rRNA from 1 species